rnacentral:lncRNA from 10 species
AAUGAGUUAAGACUGGGGGACUGUUGGGAAGGCAUAAUUGGUUUUGAAAUACGAGGACAUGAGAUUUGGAGGGACCAAGGGUAGAAUGGUAUGGUUUGGCCGUGUCCCCAUUCAAAUCUCAAUUUGAAUUAUAUUUCCCAGAAUUUCCACAUGUUGUGGGAGGGACUUAGGAAGAGGUAAUCGAAUCAUGGGGGCUGGUCUUUCCUGUCCUAUUCUUGUGAUAGUGAAUAAGUCUCACAAGAUCUGAUGGGUUUAUCAGGGGUUUCCGCUUUUGCAUCUUCCUCAUUUUCUCUUGCCACCGCCAUGUAAGAAGUGCGUUUCGCUUCCCACCAUGAUUCUGAGGCCUCCUCAACCAUGUGGAAAUGUUGCUGUUAAGUGCCAUUGAUAUGCUGAAUGAAGAAAAUGACAGAUUGAAGCUAACCAGCCACAAACUCAGGAAAGAUGUGACAGCCAGAAUGCCACUACGACAGGAUUUUUUUUUUUAGAUGGGCUCUCACUAUGUUGUCCAGGCUGGUGUUUAAUUCCUGGGCUCAAGUGAUCCUCCUGCCUCAGCCUCUGAAGCAGCUGGGACUACAGUUCAAGUCUUGAAGUGAGAACCAGAAAGCUUCCAUGAUGACCCUAAAAAGAACCUUGCCGGGAACGUGACUCAUGCCUAUAAUCCCAGCAACUCGGGAGGCUGAGGCAGGAGCAUUGCUUGAGGCCAGGAGUUUAAGACCAGCUUGGGCAGCAUAGCGAGAUCUUGUCUCUAAAAAAAAUUAUUUUUAGGAAUCUUUCUUGUAGAUCCAGGGCUGAUAUUGCUGAAGACCAAAAAUAAAAUUUAAUUGUGCAGGUUGCUGAAUAAUAAUGACAUUUCAGUUCACAGUCUUGCCAAGUUUUUAAUGUGAAAGUUAGGGCACUGAUAAGGAAAGAAUGGGAUCCUGAACCUUGUAAUCAAGACAUCUCAAAUGAACUGAGACAACUCAAAUGAAUUGAGACAUCCAAAUGAAGCCCAUAGUCUUGAGAUCCAAGAUUAUCAGGGGGUCGUUCUGAGUCCCCUGACCAGCAGAAGUAGGUUGCCCUCUGGUGUCUGAGGACGUUACCUUUGUUCUGCUUGAAAUCCUUGUGACAACCUUGCUUGAGGCAGACGCCUUGAAUAGGGAUGCUCAUUCUCCACUAGACCCACCAUAGCCAUACCCUGUGGCCACCAGACCCACAAAGUCUUAGCAUGCUCCAGAGGGACAGGAGGACUUAAGACCCAGGAGGAGACAGCUUAGGCACGAAAAGGAUUGCAGGGCCUUGCUAACAUAUAUUAGUAGUAAUCUGGUGACUAUACAUAGGAAUGGAUUCUGAGGUUGGUAGAUCAGAGGGCAAAAUAUAACACAAUAUCAGGCCAAAUCCUUUUACGUGAGUGUGCUUACUAGAAUUCUGAAUGUAAAGUAUUAGCUUGUGUAGAUAAAGGUGAAUCUAACUGCUUAUUUUGUUGAUUGACUGAAACUUGAACUCAAAAUUCAAGUUUCAUGAGGUCUAAUUUAAUGAGGUUAAGACGCCAGAGCUUUGCUGGUGUGUCGUGAAAGAAGAAAUCCAAGAGCACCGGGAGAUGGCAAUGUUGGAGUGGAUUGAUCAUGUGUGACUUAUUCCCUAACUAUAUUCUAUGUGAAGACCCAAGAAGAUACUCCCUUUACCAAGGCAUUAAAAAAUACAUUUGUCAGGGGAGCACCUGUGUCUUUGACAAGUUCUGUGGUUAUUCCCUUUGUUAGGCCAGGCUGUAGGUGGUUCCAACUUUAAGAUGGGCCCCCUAAUUUCAGUGGGGAUGACGGUAUUGCAUUGUAGCAGAGGCCAAGUUGAAGCACUUAACCAACAAAGACAAGGUGGGCACAUCAACCAUAAAGGGCAUCAGAAAUGUUUCAGCAAUCAAAACACUUUGGCCUACAGAGAUCUUAACUGAUCUAUAUAAUAGGAAAACUCUAUGUCCAGCAGCCAAAUACCUGAUUUGAGUCAGGCAUUGAUUUGAGUCAUAACAAUGGUGAAUGGUGGCCUCUCACUCAGUUUCCAGGCUUAAGUUGGUUCACUGAUUCAGAGUGAAGUUGGUUCACUGAUUCAGAACCUUUGCUUGAAUAGGAGGCUAGGUUCCCUUGAAGAUCUUGCAGGACCUCGUAACACUGCUAUAAGAAAACACCUGAAGCCAGGCGCAGUGGCUCAUGCCUAUAAUCCCAGCACUUUGUGAGGCCAAGGCAGGUGGAUCACGAUUUCAGGAGAUCGAGACCAUCCUGGCCAACAUGGUGAAACCCCGUCUCUACUAAAAUACAAAAAUUAGCUGGGUGUGGUGGCAUGCACCUGUAAUCCCAGC